rnacentral:rRNA from 1 species
CCCGGACCGAGGACCGCGCUUCGGCUAGGAUGCUGGCGUAAUGGUCGUAAGCGACCCGUCUUGAAACACGGACCAAGGAGUCUAACAUCUAUGCGAGUGUUUGGGUGUCAAACCCAUGCGCGGAAUGAAAGUGAACGGAGGUGGGAACCCGUCAGGGUGCACCAUCGACCGAUCCUGAUGUCUUCGGAUGGAUUUGAGUAGGAGCAUAGCUGUUGGGACCCGAAAGAUGGUGAACUAUGCCUGAAUAGGGUGAAGCCAGAGGAAACUCUGGUGGAGGCUCGCAGCGGUUCUGACGUGCAAAUCGAUCGUCAAAUUUGGGUAUAGGG